rnacentral:rRNA from 1 species
AGGAUAAACGCUGGCGGCGUGCAUGAGACAUGCAAGUCGAACGGACACUUGGGGCUUGCUCCAAGUGUUAGUGGCGGACGGCUGAGUAACGCGUAGGUGACCUGUCCCGAAGUGGGGAAUAACUGCCCGAAAGGGUGGCUAAUACCGCAUGUGGUGGUGUGUUCAUUCACACCAGUAAAGCCGCAAGGCGCUUCGGGAGGGGCCUGCGUCCGAUUAGCUCGUUGGUGGGGUAACGGCUCACCAAGGCGACGAUCGGUAGGUGGUCUGAGAGGACGAUCACCCAGACUGGGACUGAGACACGGCCCAGACUCCUACGGGAGGCAGCAGUCGGGAAUUUUGCGCAAUGGACGAAAGUCUGACGCAGCAACGCCGCGUGAGGGAUGAAGGCCUUCGGGUUGUAAACCUCUUUUAUCAGGGAAGAUAAUGACGGUACCUGAUGAAUAAGUAACGGCUAACUACGUGCCAGCAGCCGC